rnacentral:rRNA from 1 species
GACGAACGCUGGCGGCGUGCUUAACACAUGCAAGUCGAACGGAAAGGCCCUGCUUUUGUGGGGUGCUCGAGUGGCGAACGGGUGAGUAACACGUGAGUAACCUGCCCUUGACUUUGGGAUAACUUCAGGAAACUGGGGCUAAUACCGGAUAGGAGCUCCUGCUGCAUGGUGGGGGUUGGAAAGUUUCGGCGGUUGGGGAUGGACUCGCGGCUUAUCAGCUUGUUGGUGGGGUAGUGGCUUACCAAGGCUUUGACGGGUAGCCGGCCUGAGAGGGUGACCGGCCACAUUGGGACUGAGAUACGGCCCAGACUCUUACGGGUGGCAGCAGUGGGGAAUAUUGCACAAUGGGCGGAGGCCUGAUGCAGCAACGCCGCGUGCGGGAUGACGGCCUUCGGGUUGUAAACCGCUUUCGCCUGUGACGAAGCGUGCGUGACGGUAAUGGGUAAAGAAGCACCGGCUAACUACGUG